CAAUAUUCUAUUAGCCCUACUAGACGACAACGGAGACGAGGCUUGGCUUACCUCCCUCUGCCCUCCGGCCAUAACCCCAUUACUUUCUUAAUCCCUCGUGAGAUGUGCUUUCGCUGGAGUACAUAUCUGAACUUUUAAACCGAGGUGCUGGAAGGUUGGGGUACGAUCUGGCCGAACAAUCGUAUUUGAUUUCGGACGUAUACCUGUUCCCUGAUUAGGUACUACACCCCAUGCUCUUUUUCCUUAUGCAUGCACCAGCCUCAGAUUAGAUAAAUAGUAUGGAUCCGUGCACAUAAUCCACGGACGUAUACCUGUUCUCUGAUUAGGUGUUUUUUUCCUUUAUGCAUGUACCAGUCUCAUAUACUAGAUAAAUAGUCUGCAGAUGGAUCCAUGCAUGCAGUCUACCUUUGGGCCAUUAACAAAUGUGCAUCUUGUACCAUACGUGUGCAAAACAAUUGUUUUAUUGACG